rnacentral:rRNA from 1 species
UACAGAGGUCUCAAGCGUUGUUCGGAUUCAUUGGGCGUAAAGGGUGCGUAGGCGGCGCCGUAAGUCUGGUGUGAAAUCCCGGAGCUUAACUCCGGAACUGCACUGGAUACUGCGGUGCUCGAGGACUGGAGAGGAGAUUGGAAUUCACGGUGUAGCAGUGAAAUGCGUAGAUAUCGUGAGGAAGACCAGUGGCGAAGGCGGAUCUCUGGACAGUUCCUGACGCUGAGGCACGAAGGCCAGGGGAGCAAACGGG